rnacentral:lncRNA from 1 species
CUGAACUUGGCAGGAAAAUCAGUAGGAGUAAGUGGCGGAGGCAUGGGACUGGCAGAGAUACGGCAGCCCCUGUGGAGAGGCUGUCUACAGAUAACAUAACAAUAACAACAGGAUCUGCGGGGUUCCUGCAUGCGUGUUGGCUUCACUGGAGAAACUAAUCAAGUGGUGCAGUUUGGACACAGAGACUGACACACAGGAAGAAUACCAUGUGAAGACUGGAGUUUUGCAUAGAGAAGCCAAGGAGCUACCAGAAGCUAGGAGAAUGGCCUGGAACAGACCUUUCCUUAGUGCCUUCAGAGAGAGCAUGGCGCUGCCAACAUCUUGAUCUCAGACUUCCAGCAUCCUGAAUUGUGAGAUAAAUUUCUGCUGUUUAAACCAUAUAAUUUGUGAUACUUUGCUAUGGCAACUGUCACAGCUAUUAUAAGCACCUAACCCUUUUUUUAAUCUUUUAAGAAACUUUUUGCUUUCAUCUACUUUUUUUGUUCUGGUUAUUCCAUAUUUUACUUUAAGAUUUAGUCUUCUGUCAAUAAAGCAAUAAUUUCAGAUCAAUUUC